GAUGAAGAACGCAGCGAAAUGCGAUAAGUAAUGUGAAUUGCAGAAUUCAGUGAGUCAUCGAAUCUUUGAACGCAUCUUGCGCUCCUUGGUAUUCUGAGGAGCAUGCCUGUUUGAGUGUCAUUAAAUUCUCAACUACACUGACUUUGAAUUGGUGUGGCUUGGAUUUGGGGGGAAAAUUGUUGUGGGCUUUUUGUAUAGUCUGCUCCCCUGAAAUUGAUUAGCGCUACCUUUGUGGAACUGUCUACAGGUGUGAUAAUUAUCUACAUCUUAGACAUCUGCUGGAAUGCUGCUUUCUAAACCUUACUUGUAUUGACAAUCUUGACCUCAUAUCAGGUAGGACUACCCGCUGAACUUAAGCAUAUCAAUAAGCGGAGGA
rnacentral:misc_RNA from 1 species